GACGUAGGGCGCGAGCGUUGUCCGGAUUUAUUGGGCGUAAAGAGCGUGUAGGCGGUUUGUCGCGUCUGCCGUGAAAUUUCGAGGCUCAACCUCGAACUUGCGGUGGGUACGGGCAGACUAGAGUGUGGUAGGGGAGACUGGAAUUCCUGGUGUAGCGGUGAAAUGCGCAGAUAUCAGGAGGAACACCGGUGGCGAAGGCGGGUCUCUGGGCAGUAACUGACGCUGAGGAGCGAAAGCGUGGGGAGCGAACAGG
rnacentral:rRNA from 1 species